rnacentral:rRNA from 1 species
AUACGGAGGACGCGAGCGUUAUCCGGAUUCAUUGGGUUUAAAGGGUGCGCAGGCAGCCGUGCAAGUCAGCGGUGAAAGCCCGGGGCUCAACCCCGGAAGUGCCGUUGAUACUGCGUGGCUGGAACGCGGUCGAGGCGGGCGGAAAGGGGCGGGUAGCGGGGAAAUGCGUAGAUAUGCCACAGAACGCCGAUAGCGGAGGGAGCUCGCCAGGCCUGCAUUGACGCUCGGGCACGAAAGCGUGGGGAUCGAACAGGAUUAGAUACCCUGGUAGUCCACGCCGUAAACGAUGGGCGCUCGUCGACGGCGACAGACAGUCGGCGGCCAAGCGAAAGCGAUAAGCGCCCCACCUGGGGAGUACGGUCGCAAGGCUGAAACUCAAAUGAAUUGACGGGG